UACAGAGGUCCCAAGCGUUGUUCGGAUUUACUGGGCGUAAAGGGUGCGUAGGCGGUCGGGUAAGUCUGGUGUGAAAUUUCGGAGCUUAACUCCGAAACUGCAUUGGAUACUAUCCGGCUCGAGGUUGGGAAGGGAGACUGGAAUUCUCGGUGUAGCAGUGAAAUGCGUAGAUAUCGAGAGGAACACCAGUGGCGAAGGCGAGUCUCUGGACCAAUCCUGACGCUGAGGCACGAAAGCCAGGGGAGCAAACGGG
rnacentral:rRNA from 1 species